CAAACCCUCUAAAACCUUUGGAAAUCCCCAGCGUUCAGAACCACCGUGUCCUCCAAAACCCAUAAACCAUUUCUUCAAGAAAUGUCUGUUUCCUUCUGUUCUCCUUCACUCUUCUAUCAAAAACCUCUCUUUCCUAAUCUUUUUGGGAACCAAAGAGUAUCUGUGUUAUGGAGAAAUCCACAUAUUUUGAGGAAACUUGUGGUCAGAGCAGGCCCCAAGAGGGUAUCUUUUGGAAGAGAAUGUAGGGAGGCCUUGCAAGCUGGGAUUGAUAAGCUAGCUGAUGCUGUUUCUAUCACCCUAGGACCAAGAGGACGUAAUGUUGUUCUUUUUGAGUCUGGUGCACUAAAGGUAAUAAAUGAUGGUGUUACAAUUGCUCGAUCCAUAGAGCUUUCAGAUGCAGUUGAGAAUGCAGGAGCAAUGCUAAUCCAAGAGGUUGCAAGUAAAAUGAAUGAUUUGGCUGGUGAUGGUACAACUACUGCAAUUGUUUUGGCUCGAGCAAUGAUCAAAUCUGGGUCAUUGGCAGUUGCUUUUGGUGCUAACCCAAUCUCUUUGAAGAAAGGGAUGGAUAAGACUGUAAAAGAAUUGGUCAAGGUCUUGAAGAAGAAAAGUGUGCCUGUAAAAGGAAGGGAUGAUAUUAAAGCUGUGGCCUCAAUUUCUGCCGGAAAUGAUGAGUUCAUUGGGAACUUAAUUUCUGAAGCUAUAGAAAAGAUUGGCCCUGAUGGAAUAAUCUCUGUCGAGUCAUCCACAUCAUCUGAGACCUCAGUGAUAAUUGAAGAAGGAAUGACGAUUGGCAAAGGUUACAUGUCACCCCACUUCAUUACAGACCACAACAAAUCUGUAGUGGAGUUUGACAAUGCUAAAGUUCUAGUAACUGAUCAGAGGAUUUCUACUGUCAAAGAACUUGUUCCUUUACUGGAAAAGACCACACAACUGAGUGUCCCACUGCUAAUCAUUGCAGAGGAUAUCUCCAGGCAAGUACUGGAAACACUAGUGGUGAACAAAAUGCAAGGUCUACUAAAUGUUGCUGUUGUCAAAUGCCCAGGUUUAGGAGAAGGAAAGAAAGCUCUGCUGCAAGAUAUUGCCCUAAUGACAGGUGCUGAUUUUCUCUCUGGAGAUUUGGGUUUGACGCUUGAUGUUGCAACAUCAGAUCAGCUUGGCAUUGCACGAAAAGUAACUGUGACGAGUAAUUCAACAACCAUAGUUGCGGACCCUACUACUCAAGCUGAAAUUCAGGCAAGAAUUUUGCAGAUCAAGAAGGAUCUAGCGGAAACAGAUAAUGCAUACUUGUCAAGGAAACUCUCAGAAAGAAUUGCUAAACUCUCUGGUGGUGUGGCUGUGAUUAAGGUAGGAGCACACACUGAGGUGGAACUUGAAGAUCGGAAACUCAGAGUUGAAGAUGCAAAGAAUGCCACAUUUGCUGCCAUGGAUGAAGGGAUAGUGCCUGGGGGUGGUACUGCAUAUGUACACCUCUCAGAAUUGAUUCCCAUCAUAAAGAAUUCUAUGGAAGAUCUAGAUGAGCAGAUUGGUGCAGAUAUUGUUGCAAAGGCACUUCUUGCACCUGCAAAAUUAAUUGCUACCAAUGCAGGAGUCGAUGGAGACAUUGUUGUAGAGAAGACUAGAACCUGUGAUUGGCGAACUGGAUACAAUGCAAUGACAUGCAGGUAUGAAGAUCUUCUGAGUGCUGGAGUUGCAGAUCCUUGUCGGGUUUCAAGAUGUGCACUUCAAAGUGCGGUGUCAAUUGCAGGGGUAGUUCUAACCACUCAAGCUGUAUUGGUGGAGAAAACAAAGAAGCCCAAGCCACCCAUCCCUCUGGUUCCAGGCAUAACUCCUUAAAGAAAAGAAAAAAGAAAAAAGAGAGAUUAGUUGGAAAGCUAGUUAACAACUGGGAAAGUACUUUAUGUGAGUAUGCAUAUUGCACUGGUUCAAAGAAAAGCAUUUUGAAUAUGAGUUUCUUGGUUUUGACUUGAGAUGAUAGAAGCUUUAGAAACUGCAAAGAGGCCAGACAAGUCAACUUUCAAUUCGAUAUUUUGGAGUGAGAGGGCAUGAAAUGCCAUACAUGAACAACGGGGUUUUAUAUCCGGAAGUUAUCGCUACGGGCACGGUACAAUGGAUGAUCGAUAUUGUUGCAGCCGUGGCAGUAAAGUUAUUUAUGGAAUUGGGGCAGCACACCUCCUUGAUCAACCAAAUUGUGUGCCAAUGUUGCGACAUCAUCCUCUUAAGACAGGAUAUUGCGUUCGUGUUUGCUCCCAACACUGCAAUGACUAAUCAAAUUGAGGUUGUACGCAAAUCAAAUUUUGUAUACACAGCAAACGAAGACAAAGUUUGUUGAUAUCAGCGUCAUUUGAAGCAGGUAAUUUCCAUUUGCACGUCAUCUGUAUAGAGUUGUCAAAAUCAAUUUAAGUGACUUCAACUUCCCACACGAAUAUUUGUUGAACAAACUCGACUCUUUUUUAGCAGAGCUGCCUACUGAGAUUUCACAUCA